ACAGUGUGAUCACUCUUCAAUUGUCGAAUAAAGUUUUCGCCUUUAACUAAAGAUUUCCGUGGAGAGGGACACUCCAAUAGGUCUUAAAUAAUUUUUUGUCUUGCUUAUCGCUCCUAACAAG